CUCCUGGGAUACGGAAGGCACCGUGAUAGACAUCUGGGCAAGUCAACAGGAAGGUGGAUAUCCAAAUCUCUCUCUUCGCAAUGAGUUUCCAGUUAGAUGGAGGAGAGAGUAAUAAAACACAGAGCUGAGAUUCCUGACUUCACAGAUCCCUGAGGAGAUGUUUACUAAAGGGAAUCUUCUGGUCACUGUUACCUUCCUCCGUACUUACCUGCCUCAUGGAUAACACUGAAGAAUGCAGUUUACUUACAUCUUUUUCUGUUUGACAGAAGACAGUUAUUAGAACCCGAAAGGAAGAAGCUAUACGACUGGGGACACAUGUCUUAGAAGCACACUCAUUAGAUAAAGUGUCGCAUACUCUUUGAUAAGAAACUCCAGGCUGUCACCCAUCUGUUCUCUCAUCAAAGUAGUUUUGGGCCAGCAACUAUUUCAGACAUUUCUACAGUUUCAGAUGUCUCACUCUGCCUAUGACUGUAUGUUGUACUUGAGGACUGGACGCACAGGGUAAAGUGCAAAUAGCAAGCAUUCAGGUCCAACUCUCCUCCUUCUGGUUAACAAUAUGAAAGAAAGAGGUAGUAUCGGAAUUAUUUUAGUUCAAUGUAGCCAUUAUAAAAUGUGUAUAUAUUUUAAAACAUCAUGUGGUACAUGAUAAAUAUAUACAACUUUUAUUUUUCAAUAAAAAAUUAUAAAAAAAGUCAUCAAA
rnacentral:lncRNA from 1 species